rnacentral:rRNA from 1 species
UAGGGAAUCUUCGGCAAUGGGGGCAACCCUGACCGAGCAACGCCGCGUGAGUGAAGAAGGUUUUCGGAUCGUAAAGCUCUGUUGUAAGUCAAGAACGGGUGUGAGAGUGGAAAGUUCACACUGUGACGGUAGCUUACCAGAAAGGGACGGCUAACUACGUGCCAGCAGCCGCGGUAAUACGUAGGUCCCGAGCGUUGUCCGGAUUUAUUGGGCGUAAAGCGAGCGCAGGCGGUUUGAUAAGUCUGAAGUUAAGGCUGUGGCUCAACCAUAGUUCGCUUUGGAAACUGUCAAACUUGAGUGCAGAAGGGGAGAGUGGAAUUCCAUGUGUAGCGGUGAAAUGCGUAGAUAUAUGGAGGAACACCGGUGGCGAAAGCGGCUCUCUGGUCUGUAACUGACGCUGAGGCUCGAAAGCGUGGGGAGCGAACAGGAUUAGAUACCCUGGUAGUCCACGCCGUAAACGAUGAGUGCUAGGUGUUGGAUCC